GGGGAGAAAGGAGGGGCAGUCAUGAGGGGAGAUAGUGAGGGGAGAUGAGGGAUGGGCAUGAGGUCCAAACAAGGAAGAGUAUUACCUUUUCUGCUACUACUGCACAAGAGGAAAAGGGAAAAAAAAAAACACCCAAAAAAUAACAAAUGAAAGAACAGACAAAAGCAUGCUGGGUUCAGCAAGUUAUAUGACAUUUGAGAACGG